GACGAACGCUGGCGGCGUGCUUAACACAUGCAAGUCGAACGGAAAGGCCCUGCUUGCAGGGUACUCGAGUGGCGAACGGGUGAGUAACACGUGGGUGAUCUGCCCUGCACUUCGGGAUAAGCCUGGGAAACUGGGUCUAAUACCGGAUAGGAGCCAUUUUUAGUGUGAUGGUUGGAAAGUUUUUUCGGUGUAGGAUGAGCUCGCGGCCUAUCAGCUUGUUGGUGGGGUAAUGGCCUACCAAGGCGGCGACGGGUAGCCGGCCUGAGAGGGUGGACGGCCACAUUGAGACUGAGAUACGGCCCAGACUCCUACGGGAGGCAUCAGUGGGGAAUAUUGCACAAUGGGCGCAAGCCUGAUGCAGCGACGCCGCGUGGGGGAUGACGGCCUUCGGGUUGUAAACUCCUUUCGCUAGGGACGAAGCUUUUUGUGACGGUACCUAGAUAAGAAGCACCGGCUAACUACGUG
rnacentral:rRNA from 1 species